rnacentral:rRNA from 1 species
CACGACUCUCGGCAACGGAUAUCUCGGCCCUCGCCACGAUGAAGAACGUAGCGAAAUGCGAUACUUAGUGUGAAUUGCAGAAUCCCGUGAAUCAUCGAGUCUUUGAACGCAAGUUGCGCCCGAGGCUUCGGCCAAGGGCACGUCUGCCUGGGUGUCGUAUGUUAAUCAGAUGCCCCAGCCCGUGCUCGGGCUGUGGAGCGGAGUUGGCCGUCCAUGCCUACCGUGCCCUGGUCGGCUAAAAUGCAUUGGGUUUCCGUCGCCUCGCACCGGUGAGCGGUGGUUCGGCUGUCGUGUGGCGACCGACCCGCGUGGGCUGGUGCGGGGGACAGGCGGUGCGCCUCUGUAGCCUCGAUGCCCGUCGUCCCGGGGCCCCCUGCCGGCGCACUACGGGCCUCUUCCCC